GCGAGCGUUAUCCGGAUUUACUGGGCGUAAAGAGGGCGUAGGCGGUUUUUCAAGUCGAGUGUAAAAUCUCCCGGCUUAACUGGGAGGGACCAUUCGAUACUGUUGGACUAGAGGGCAGCAGGGGGAGGUGGAAUUCCCGGUGUAGUGGUGAAAUGCGUAGAUAUCGGGAGGAACAUCAGUGGCGAAGGCGGCCUCCUAGGCUGUUUCUAACGCUGAGGCCCGAAAGCGUGGGGAGCGAACAGGAUCAGAUACCCUGGUAGUCCACGCCGUAAACAAUGGACACUAGGUAUAGGGAGUAUCGACCCUCUCUGUGCCGAAGUUAACGCAUUAAGUGUCCCGCCUGGGGAGUACGGCCGCAAGGCUAAAACUCAAAGGAAUUGACGGGGGCCCGCACAAGCAGCGGAGCGUGUGGUUUAAUUCGAUGCAACGCGAAGAACCUUACCAAGGCUUGACAUGUCGGAAGUAGCGACCCGAAAGGGAAGCCACCUGUUGAAUCAGGAACCCGUCACAGGUGCUGCAUGGCUGUCGUCAGCUCGUGCUGUGAGGUGUUAGGUUAAGUCCUGUAACGAGCGCAACCCUCGUUGCCAGUUGUUUUCUCUGGCGAGACCGCCUCGUAAAAUGGGGAGGAAGGUGGGGAUGACGUCAAGUCAACACGGCCCUUAUGCCUUGGGCUACACACACGCUACAAUGGGUGGUACAAUGGGCAGCAAUAGAAUGAUCUGGAGCCAAUCCUAUUAAAGCAUCCUCAGUUCGGAUUGUAGGCUGAAACUCGCUUCAUUGAAGUUGGAAGUUCUAGUA
rnacentral:rRNA from 1 species